rnacentral:rRNA from 1 species
AUACGGAGGAUCCGAGCGUUAUCCGGAUUUAUUGGGUUUAAAGGGUGCGCAGGCGGCCAUUUAAGUCAGCGGUUAAAUCGUGGGGCUCAACCCCAUUCUGCCGUUGAUACUGGGUGGCUUGAUUGCGGUCGAGGUUGGCGGAAUUCGUUGUGUAGCGGUGAAAUGCAUAGAUAUGACGAAGAACACCGAUUGCGUAGGCAGCUGACCAGACCGCAAAUGACGCUCAUGCACGAAAGUGCGGGGAUCGAACAGGAUUAGAUACCCUGGUAGUCCGCACAGUAAACGAUGAAUACUUGUUUUCGGCGAUAUAAUGUCGGUGGCAAAGCGAAAGCGAUAAGUAUUCCACCUGGGGAGUACGCCGGCAACGGUGAAACUCAAAUGAAUUGACGGGG